AUCCCCCGUACACGUCCACACACCGCCAUCUUGGGUUCGCGGCGAGCUCGACGCACCCGCCGGCGACGUGUAUUUAAAUGAGGGGGCGGAGCCGCGGGCGUGGGCUGGCGUGGCUCCUCCCCAGCGGGCGGUAGACUCGGGAGUCCGCGGCGGAGUGAAAAGCAGCGGAGGUUGCGCUGCGAAGGAAGGGCCCACGCCCUGGACCCGGCUGGCGGGAAAGUGGAUAGCCUUCCCGGAGGAACUGUUGGAGCUGCUGAGAAAACCUGCGUAGGGGCACCGUGGUAUAAAUCUCUCGAUUGUUGACACGGAAGAGAAAAAAGAGAAGUGAAUUUGGACUGACACAACUAAGAUGGCCGGUGGAAUAUUUCGCCAGUUCGGUGACUCACGCUUUCAGGAGGUGAAAGCAGGAAGGUUGAAGCCAACCUAAGACUGUUUCGAGAAGAAGAAGAAAAAAGUAACAAAAUCAAGGAAACUACCUGGCCUGUAACUUGAAGUCCCAAAAGUUAUAGUCAAUAUUAAACACAACACGAGGGCCUUUGCUUGGACAUCUUCUUUAAGAACCAGGACUUAGGGACUGGCAAGAUGGCUCUGGUAAGAGCACUGACUGACAGUCCUGAGUUCAAAUCCCAUCAACCACAUGGUGGCUCACAACUAUAUGCAAUGAGAUCUGAUGCCCUCUUCUGGUGUGUCUAAAGACAACUACAGUGCACUUACAUAUAACAAUAAAUAAAUCAAAACAAACAAACAAAAAACAGGACUUAGACUCCCCCUACUUCCAU